GAGUUUGAUCGUGGCUCAGAUUGAACGCUGGCGGCAUGCCUUACACAUGCAAGUCGAACGGCAGCACGGGAGCUUGCUCCUGGUGGCGAGUGGCGAACGGGUGAGUAAUGCAUCGGAACGUAUCCUGGAGUGGGGGGAUAACGUAGCGAAAGUUACGCUAAUACCGCAUAUUCUGUGAGCAGGAAAGCGGGGGACCUUCGGGCCUCGCGCUCUUGGAGCGGCCGAUGUCGGAUUAGCUAGUUGGUGAGGUAAAGGCUCACCAAGGCGACGAUCCGUAGCAGGUCUGAGAGGAUGAUCUGCCACACUGGAACUGAGACACGGUCCAGACUCCUACGGGAGGCAGCAGUGGGAAUUUUGGACAAUGGGGGCAACCCUGAUCCAGCCAUGCCGCGUGAGU
rnacentral:rRNA from 1 species